AUUGAACGCUGGCGGCAUGCCUUACACAUGCAAGUCGAACGGCAGCACGGGAGCAAUCCUGGUGGCGAGUGGCGAACGGGUGAGUAAUAUAUCGGAACGUGCCCAGUCGUGGGGAUAACGUAGCGAAAGCUACGCUAAUACCGCAUACGAUCUAUGGAUGAAAGCGGGGGAUCGCAAGACCUCGCGCGAUUGGAGCGGCCGAUAUCAGAUUAGGUAGUUGGUGAGGUAAAGGCUCACCAAGCCGACGAUCUGUAGCUGGUCUGAGAGGACGACCAGCCACACUGGGACUGAGACACGGCCCAGACUCCUACGGAGGCAGCAGUGGGAAUUUGGACAAUGGGCGCAAGCCUGAUCCAGCAAUGCCGCGUGCAGGAUGAAGG
rnacentral:rRNA from 1 species